AAGCAAUAGCCUCGCUUAUACAGAAUAAUUCCAUAUUCAUUGUUCUUUCUAAUAUCCAACAGUUUGCUCUUCCUGCUAACUAAUUAUCUGUAGCUAUUACAAUUACAAUAUCCAAAUGCCUCCAAAUUAGAAGUCUUCCUAUGUUUCUGAUAACAAAUACUAAACAUUUGUAAUAAUAAUUUUGAAAGUGAUCCGAACUUCUAUGCUCCUUGACAAAUGCCAC
rnacentral:lncRNA from 1 species